AAGUAAAAAAAAAAAAAAAAUACAAAAAAUGGGUUUACUUUUUGAACACUUGAAAGGAAAAUGUUUAUACGACAUUAUAUAUGAUAAUGUCAAUAAUAGUGGUGAUAGUAAUAUCAAUACCAAUGACUUUAAUACUAGUACCACUUUCAGUGACAGUGUUAACUACAGCAGAAGCAAGAAUAAACUUAAAUGUAAUAAUAAAAAAAAAAAGGAACAUGCGGAAGUAGACAUAUCGUUAAAUAAAAUGCAUAUGAAUGACAAAGUGAGUGGUAGUCAGAACAAGAUUAAAAAAGAUAAAAGAGAAAACACAUAUAGAUACUCAAAAGAAUUAAAGAAUGAAGGAAUUAUAAAACUGUUUUUAAAUAUAUCAACUUUAUUACAUUACAUACAUAAAAAAAAUAUAUAUCAUGGAAAUUUAAAUAGCAAAAAUAUUUUUAUUACAACUAAUGGACUUGUAAAGUUGUUCAACUUUGAGAAUGCACAUAUACAAUGUUAUUAUGAUUAUAAGAAGAGUAUGCAAAAAAGAAUGUAUGAUUCGCACAGUUGUACAUUUAGUAGUAGUAGUAGUAGUAGUAGUAGUACACGUACCACAUGUGGUAGUAAAUACAUACACCAUUACAAUAAAUCUUAUUCAUCCCAUUUAAAUAUUUCACUACCUUUACCAUAUAUAACAUCAAUUAAUUACUUUAAAAACAUAAAUGAUAACAUAACAUCACCCAUGUUACAAGUUUAUACUAGUAAACUUAGUAAUGUAAUACAACUCAGAUAUAAUUAUAAUUCCGCAUAUACAGCUCCUGAAGUCUUAAGAAAAGAAGAAUACACAGAUAAAAGUGACAUUUAUUCUUUUGGUGUUUUAAUGUAUGAAAUGUUAUUUAAAACUUUGCCUUUUCAAAAUAAGCAUGUUCCAUUUUAUUUUUUUAGUUUUACAAAUUUUAAUCAAAAUUAUUUGGUUUUUGAUGUUAAUAGGUUACGGCAAAUGUUUUAUGAUCCUAGUGUUGGUGCUGCUACAUAUACCGAUAGUGAUGGUGGUGGCGAUACCGACACUGCUACUGCUACUGCCACUACCACUACCACUGCCACCAAUACCGAUGGCAAUAACAAUAUAAUGUUUCAUCUGUUUAUAAAUGUUAUACUUUUAAUUAAACAGUGCCUGAACCCUGAACCCGAAAAUAGACCGAACUCUGAAUACUUAUGUUACAAUUUUAAGUUUUUGUUACAUAUGUUUGAGCUUAAUCAAAUGAGAGAAAAGACAUAAGUUUGGGCGGGGCACAUAUGAUACACAAGCGUAUUUUUUUUUUUUUUUUUUUUUUUUUUUUUUACACAUGGCUAACUUGGAUGAGAGUCUGAGCCUGAUUACGUUAAGUACCGUAUUACCUUUUUUUAAAUUUUUUAUUUUGUUUAUUACUAUUGUUGGAAACAUAAAAAAUUGGUUUUAUGUCAGUGUAAUUGUAACAUGUGCUUGUAACACAACAUGUGUUUAUAAUACGAGUAAGAAAAAAAAAAAAAAAAACUACGUUUAUAAAUUUUUUUUAAUUUUAUAGUGCAAUUAGACGUUAUAUAUAAAGUUUUUUU
rnacentral:lncRNA from 1 species